rnacentral:rRNA from 1 species
AGAGUCGUAGACUCAAUUGAUUUAUUGUUUCUUGUUGGUGGGGAUAGUCGGGUCCUGUUGGCAGGAUUACGCCGGCUAGUCGACAUGACAUACACGCUGCAGGUGUCAUGCGGCGACAUAACCUGGAUCGGGGAAGGCUAAUGGCCUGUAGGCCUAUGCUAAUCCCGAGUGCAGUCCUGGAGGGGUGACCUUCCAGGACGCAUGUAGAGCGCGGAAAGGUGUGGGUGACUCUUCUAGGGAAGCCUAGAAGGUUGCUUAAGGGACGUGCCAGACCCACGGGAAACCGUGCCGGAUGCGAAGGACCUGCAGUCCGAAUCGUCCGGGUGGCUUCGAGGCCGGGAGGAAAUGCCCGGAAGAGCCUGGUAUACUAUACCUACAUGGUAUUCG